UUCUAAAAAUUUCACCCUUUUAUUCUGUUAAAAAUUGACGUGAUUGACGAAAUAACCAGACAAUUUCAUGUGGCAUACAUGUACCUUAUGCUAAAAUACAGAGACCGAUUUUUAACAAUAAAAAUGGAUGAAUCUUUUAAAC
rfam:Gossypium arboreum cultivar AKA8401 contig_11902_11, whole genome shotgun sequence.